AACGAACGCUGGCGGCAUGCCUAACACAUGCAAGUCGAACGAGACCUUCGGGCCUGGUGGCGCACGGGUGCGUAACGGGUGGGAACCUGCCCGUAGGUUCGGAAUAACUCCCCGAAAGGGGUGCUAAUAACGGAUAAUGUCUUCGGACCAAAGAUUUAUCGCAUUUGGAUGGGGCCGCGUUGGAUUAGCUUGUUGGUAGGGUAAAAGCAUGCCAAGGCGACGAGCCAUAGCUGGUCGGUGAGGAUGAUCAGCCACACUGGGACUGAGACACGGCCCAGACUCCUACGGGAGGCAGCGGAGGGGGAUAUUGGACAAUGGGCGAAAGCCUGAUCCAGCGAUGCCGCGUGGGUGAUGAAGGCCUUAGAGUUGUAAAGCUCUUUUAACCGGGAUGAUAAUGACGGUACCGGGAUAAUAAGCACCGGCUAACUCCGUG
rnacentral:rRNA from 1 species